rnacentral:lncRNA from 1 species
GGCGGGCUCUACCUCAUGGACCGGGUUCCAGACCAAGGCUGAAGUGGAGCAGGUGGAGCUGCCUGAUGGAAAGAAGAGAAGAAAGGUCCUGGCGCUCCCCUCACACCGAGGCCCCAAAAUCAGGUUGCGGGACAAAGGCAAAGUGAAGCCCGUCCAUCCCAAAAAGCCAAAGCCACAGAUAAACCAGUGGAAGCAGGAGAAGCAGCAAUUAUCGUCCGAGCAGGUAUCUAGGAAAAAAGCUAAGGGAAAUAAGACGGAAACCCGCUUCAACCAGCUGGUCGAACAAUAUAAGCAGAAAUUAUUGGGACCUUCUAAAGGAGCACCUCUUGCAAAGAGGAGCAAAUGGUUUGAUAGUUGAUGAUGGCAGCAGGCUGGGUAAGAAGCUGGGUUGUGUACUUUCUGGUGACACUCCUGGGCUCCUCCCCAUCCCCCGUGUCUCUCACUGAGGGAAAGAAAAUCCCCAAGGGCACUGCCACUGUGCUCGGAGGUGCCCUGGACUGUGUACAUCUGAACUUUGGUCCAUCCUUUGAUGUGUGGUUCGUUAGCCACAAAGAGAAAUAUCUGAAAGUCAACAUGAUGCUUCUUGCAUAUUAUCCAGAUUAUUGUAUGAAGUUGUGUCUAUAAUUAUUACCAAUUUUUAUUCUUUAUUUCUCAAAUGGAAACACCUGAAAAAGC